GCAAGAUGUAGUGCAUCUGCAGUCUUCUAUCUCUUUAGAAGCCAAGUUAACAAUACAGACAUUCUUUUACAUCUAUUUAGUCACCAUGGCUGUAACCUGAGCUGGUGCUCUACUGUUCCCAGAUUCCUUGCUCUGUGGGAGAACAAUGAUGAUCACCCUGUGCCUCAAAGUUCACCAGAACUGUGUUUUAAAGGCAAUAUGGGCACCUACAGAAGAUACACUCAACGUUGAACACCCCUGUGAAUACAACUCAGCUGAACUGUCAAAAUACCACACCAAAAAUGUGGAAAGGUGACCAUGAAGAUAAUGGCAACACAGAAGACUGUUAUAUGAAACCUUAAAGAGAGUAAACUUACAAAUGCAAUUAAAGGAGAUUUCACAGUUA